ACUGGGUGCAGUGGUGCACACCUGUAAUCCCAGCACCUGGGAGGCUGAUGCAGGAGAUUCACUACUUUGAGGCCAGCCUCAACAUGUUAGACCUAAGCAACUUAAUGAGACCCUGUCUCAA
rnacentral:sRNA from 1 species